GACGAACGCUGGCGGCGUGCUUAACACAUGCAAGUCGAACGGUGACCCAGGGCUUGCCCUGGUGAUCAGUGGCGAACGGGUGAGUAACACGUGGGCAACCUGCCCCUGACUUCGGGAUAACUCCUCGAAGAGGAGCUAAUACCGGAUACGACCACUUCGGACAUCCGAUGGUGGUGGAAAGUUCUUCGGUCAGGGAUGGGCCCGCGGCCUAUCAGCUAGUUGGUGGGGUAAUGGCCUACCAAGGCGACGACGGGUAGCCGGCCUGAGAGGGCGACCGGCCACACUGGGACUGAGACACGGCCCAGACUCCUACGGGAGGCAGCAGUGGGGAAUAUUGCGCAAUGGGCGAAAGCCUGACGCAGCGACGCCGCGUGAGGGAUGAAGGCCUUCGGUUGUAAACCUCUUCUAGCAGGGACGAAGCGAAAGUGACGGUACC
rnacentral:rRNA from 1 species